CCUACGGGUGGCUGCAGUGGGGAAUAUUGGACAAUGGGCGAAAGCCUGAUCCAGCCAUGCCGCGUGUGUGAAGAAGGCCUUCGGGUUGUAAAGCACUUUCAGUGGGGAAGAAAGCCUUGGGGCUAAUACCCUCGAGGAAGGACAUCACCCACAGAAGAAGCACCGGCUAACUCCGUGCCAGCAGCCGCGGUAAUACGGAGGGUGCGAGCGUUAAUCGGAAUUACUGGGCGUAAAGCGCGCGUAGGCGGUCUGAUAAGCCGGUUGUGAAAGCCCCGGGCUCAACCUGGGAACGGCAUCCGGAACUGUCAGGCUAGAGUGCAGGAGAGGAAGGUAGAAGUCCCGGUGUAGCGGUGAAAUGCGUAGAGAUCGGGAGGAAUACCAGUGGCGAAGGCGGCCUUCGGGACUGACACGGACGCUGAGGUGCGAAAGCGUGGGUAGCAAACAGGAUUAGAUACCCCUUAGUC
rnacentral:rRNA from 1 species